rnacentral:rRNA from 1 species
CCUACGGGGGGCUGCAGUCGAGAAUUUUUCUCAAUGGGCGAAAGCCUGAAGGAGCGACGCCGCGUGUGGGAUGAAGGGUUUCGAUCCGUAAACCACUGUCAUUUGUGAACAAUGGUUAUCAUUUAAAAGAUGAUGACUUGAUAGUAAUGAAAGAGGAAGGGACGGCUAACUCUGUGCCAGCAGCCGCGGUAAUACAGAGGUCCCGAGCGUUGUUCGGAUUCACUGGGCGUAAAGGGUGCGUAGGUGGCAUGGUAAGUUUGAUGUGAAAGCUCAGG